AAUGACUCAUUGCCGGCGGUUUAUAACAGGCUGGCAGGAAGCAGACAAGUGCACACUCGCCAUGUCUGAUAACGAGUCAAUCAUGUUCCCUAUCAAACAUUGGGUCAUGGAGUUCAUGGUGGAAGCUGUAGCUACCUUUGUCCUGCAUAAGACACAAGAUGUUUUCUAAACCGAAUGAUUUAACUACUCGUCUACCUGUGUAAUCUGGACUUCCUGCGAGAAUUCUUGUCAUCGGAAAACUUAUAUCUGUUUACACAAUAUGAUUGAUGGAAAAAAAUUUGUUUUUACUGAAAAUUCUUGAUAAAUAUACCAUAUUAUUUUGGACACAAGAUAUUUUCUAAACCGAAUGAUUUAAUUACUCGAAUACGUGUAUAAUCUGGACUUCCUGAGAGAAUUCUUGUCAUC